GGGAGUAUAGUUCAGUGACAGAGUGUUUGCCUAGCAUGCAUAUGGCCCUGGGUUCAAUUCCCAGUACAACAA
rnacentral:tRNA from 1 species